UCAAAGGAAUUGACGGGGAGCACCACAACGGGUGGAGCUUGCGGUUUAAUUGGAUUCAACGCCGGAAAUCUUACCGGGACCGACAGCAAUAUGAAGGCCAGGCUGAAGACUUUGCCGGAUUAGCUGAGAGGUGGUGCAUGGCCGUCGUCAGUUCGUACUGUGAAGCAUCCUGUUAAGUCAGGCAACGAGCGAGACCCACGCCCACAGUUGCCAGCGUACUCUCUGGAGUGACGGGUACACUGUGGGACCGUCGCUGCUAAAGCGGAGGAAGGAAUGGGCAACGGUAGGUCAGUAUGCCCCGAAUAUCCCGGGCUACACGCGAGCUACAAUGGUUGGUACAAUGGGUAUCUACCCCGAAAGGGGACGGGAAUCUCCUAAAACCAAUCUUAGUUCGGAUUGAGGGCUGCAACUCGCCCUCAUGAAGCUGGAAUCCGUAGUAAUCGCGUUUCAACAGAACGCGGUGAAUACGUCCCUGCUCCUU
rnacentral:rRNA from 1 species